AGGAAUCCGACGAUCAAGCACUAUAAGCACAUUACAAUGUGAAUGAAACUUGGAAUGCUCAAGGUCGAGGUUCUGGAGGUAGAAACUGUUGAGGUAAAAGUCAAGGAGGUUGUGGUCGGGGUGUUGUUGGAGCUGACAUAGAUCAGACUAGACAUCAAAGUUGGUGUGGCUGUGGUUGAGGAAGAUAUCAUAAAGGUUAGGUUAAAGCAACUUUGGAGUGCUUCAAAUGUGUCAAACUUGGUCACUAUGCAAAAUGAAUGCAAAAUAGGAAGCCAUUACAAUUAUGGGAAUGUCGGUCUCAUAGCAAUAACAAAUGCAAUUUCAUGGCAUAAAAAAUGUGGAUAUGCAAGUGUGAGAUUAAUCUCUAAACUGCAACGCCAUAACCCUUUAAGAGGACUCGUAUCAUUCAAGUAUACAAUCUUUUGUGAUGCCUACAUGAGAGGUAAACAGGUCAACGAGUCUUUUAAAAGAAAAAACGUUGUUUCAAUAGAAAAACCUCUUG
rnacentral:lncRNA from 1 species